UACAGAGGGUGCGAGCGUUAAUCGGAAUUACUGGGCGUAAAGGGCGCGUAGGUGGUUGCGUAAGAUUGAUGUGAAAUCCCUGGGCUUAACCUAGGAACUGCAUCGAUGACUGCGUAGCUAGAGUACUGUAGAGGGUAGUGGAAUUUCCGGUGUAGCGGUGAAAUGCGUAGAGAUCGGAAGGAACACCAGUGGCGAAGGCGGGUCUCUGGGCAGUAACUGACGCUGAGGAGCGAAAGCGUGGGGAGCGAACAGG
rnacentral:rRNA from 1 species